rnacentral:rRNA from 1 species
GCUCGAGUGGCGAACGGGUGAGUAACACGUGAGUAACCUGCCCUUGACUUUGGGAUAACUUCAGGAAACUGGGGCUAAUACCGGAUAGGAGCUCCUGCUGCAUGGUGGGGGUUGGAAAGUUUCGGCGGUUGGGGAUGGACUCGCGGCUUAUCAGCUUGUUGGUGGGGUAGUGGCUUACCAAGGCUUUGACGGGUAGCCGGCCUGAGAGGGUGAUCGGCCACACUGGAACUGAGACACGGUCCAG